rnacentral:ncRNA from 1 species
AUGAGUGCCUGUCCAUCCCAAAUUUUUCGCUGCUGCGCAAGGCUUGACGGUCGUGUCGGUCAUGGCAACCGAUCCGUCGAAGUCGUGAGGCGCAACGCGAACACCGUAGGCGAGCCGCUUGCCCCGUACGACGGGGCGGCGGCUUUUUUA